CAGCAGUAGGGAAUCUUCCACAAUGGGCGAAAGCCUGAUGGAGCAACGCCGCGUGAGUGAGGAAGGCUUUCGGGUCGUAAAGCUCUGUUGCCAGGGAAGAAUAAGGGUGAGAGUAACUGCUCAUCCGAUGACGGUACCUGAGAAGAAAGCCCCGGCUAACUACGUGCCAGCAGCCGCGGUAAUACGUAGGGGGCAAGCGUUGUCCGGAAUUAUUGGGCGUAAAGCGCGCGCAGGCGGUUCUUUAAGUCUGGUGUCUAAGUGCGGGGCUCAACCCCGUGAUGCACUGGAAACUGGGGAACUUGAGUGCAGAAGAGGAGAGCGGAAUUCCACGUGUAGCGGUGAAAUGCGUAGAGAUGUGGAGGAACACCAGUGGCGAAGGCGGCUCUCUGGACUGUAACUGACGCUGAGGCGCGAAAGCGUGGGGAGCAAACAGGAUUAGAUACCCUGGUAGUCCACGCCGUAAACGAUGAGUGCUAGGUGUUGGGGGUAUCAUGCCCUCGGUGCCGAAGUUAACACAUUAAGCACUCCGC
rnacentral:rRNA from 1 species